rnacentral:rRNA from 1 species
GACGAACGCUGGCGGCGUGCUUAACACAUGCAAGUCGAACGGAACGGCCUGCUUUCCCUUGUGGAUUGCGGGUACUCGAGUGGCGAACGGGUGAGUAACCCGUGUGUGUUCUGCCCCCAACUUGGGUAUAAGCCUGGGAUACUGGGUCUAAUUCCCGAUAGGCCUGCAGGGUGGUGCCUUUGGUGGAAAUCGAUUUUCUAGUGGUUGGGGAUAGGCUCGCGGCCUAUCAGCUUGUUGGUGGGGUAAUGGCCUACCAAGGCGGCGACAGGAAGCCAGCCUGAGAGGGGGGAGAGCGGAAGUGAGACUGAGAAACGACCCAGACACCUAGGGGAGGCAGAGGUGGGGAAGGGAGGACGAAGGGGGGAAGACUGAAGCAGCGACGCAGGGUGGGGGAAGACGGGCUGCGGGAGGUAAGCAGCUUUCGAGGGAGAGAAGGCCACCUGGUUGGAAGGGUAGUGACGGUAGCGGGAGAAGAAGCACCGGCUAACUACGUG